rnacentral:rRNA from 1 species
GAUGAACGCUAGCUACAGGCUUAACACAUGCAAGUCGAGGGGUAACGAGAGGAAAGCUUGCUUUCCUUGUCGACGACCGGCGCACGGGUGAGUAACGCGUAUCCAACCUGCCCCCAACUAGGGAAUAACCUUGCGAAAGUAAGACUAAUACCCUAUAAUUUCCUCUGAUGACAUCUGACGAGGGAUAAAGAUUUAUCGGUUGUGGAUGGGGAUGCGUCUGAUUAGCUUGUUGGCGGGGUAACGGCCCACCAAGGCAACGAUCAGUAGGGGUUCUGAGAGGAAGGUCCCCCACAUUGGAACUGAGACACGGUCCAAACUCCUACGGGAGGCAGCAGUGAGGAAUAUUGGUCAAUGGGCGGAAGCCUGAACCAGCCAAGUAGCGUGCAGGAUGACGGCCCUAUGGGUUGUAAACUGCUUUUAUACAGGAAUAAAGUUAGCCACGUGUGGUUAUUUGUAGGUACUGUAUGAGUAAGGACCGGCUAAUUCCGUGCCAGCCGCCGCGGUAAGAC